CUACGGGAGGCAGCAGUGGGGAAUAUUGGACAAUGGGCGCAAGCCUGAUCCAGCAAUGCCGCGUGAGUGAUGAAGGCCUUAGGGUCGUAAAGCUCUUUUACCAGGGAUGAUAAUGACAGUACCUGGAGAAUAAGUUCCGGCUAACUCCGUGCCAGCAGCCGCGGUAAUACGGAGGGAGCUAGCGUUGUUCGGAAUUACUGGGCGUAAAGCGUACGUAGGCGGUUAUUCAAGUCAGAGGUGAAAGCCCGGGGCUCAACCCCGGAACGGCCUUUGAAACUAGGUAGCUAGAAUCUUGGAGAGGUCAGUGGAAUUCCGAGUGUAGAGGUGAAAUUCGUAGAUAUUCGGAAGAACACCAGUGGCGAAGGCGACUGACUGGACAAGUAUUGACGCUGAGGUACGAAAGCGUGGGGAGCAAACAGGAUUAGAUACCCUGGUAGUCCACGCCGUAAACGAUGAUAACUAGCUGUUCGGGCACUUGGUGCUUGAGUGGCGCAGCUAACGCAUUAAGUUAUCCGCCUGGGGAUACGGUCGCAAGNUUAAAACUCAAAGGAAUUGACGGCUGAGAGNGCGAGACGACGACGAGGAGAG
rnacentral:rRNA from 1 species